rnacentral:rRNA from 1 species
UGGGGAAUAUUGGACAAUGGGCGAAAGCCUGAUCCAGCCAUGCCGCGUGUGUGAAGAAGGUCUUCGGAUUGUAAAGCACUUUAAGUUGGGAGGAAGGGCAUUAACCUAAUACGUUAGUGUUUUGACGUUACCGACAGAAUAAGCACCGGCUAACUCUGUGCCAGCAGCCGCGGGAAUACAGAGGGUGCAAGCGUUAAUCGGAAUUACUGGGCGUAAAGCGCGCGUAGGUGGUUUGUUAAGUUGGAUGUGAAAGCCCCGGGCUCAACCUGGGAACUGCAUCCAAAACUGGCAAGCUAGAGUACGGUAGAGGGUGGUGGAAUUUCCUGUGUAGCGGUGAAAUGCGUAGAUAUAGGAAGGAACACCAGUGGCGAAGGCGACCACCUGGACUGAUACUGACACUGAGGUGCGAAAGCGUGGGGAGCAAACA